UCAGCUUGUUAUUCUACCCAGAAUGGGGCAGCGCAGUGACACGGCCCUAGUCCACAAUUUAGAGCAAAAGCUGGAGGCAGUUUUGAACAUUUACGAGCAGAGGCUAUCUAAAAGCAACUACCUUGCUGGGGACAGCUUCACAUUGGCUGAUCUGAGUCACCUACCAGCCUUAAGAUAUCUGAUGAACGAAGCUGGAAUGGCCCAUUUGGUUACACAGAGGAAGCAUGUUAAUGCUUGGUGGGACAAAAUUUCUAGCCGCCCGGCUUGGAAGAAACUAGCGAGUCUUGCUCAUUAACUAAUUUUUAGUGUGUUAUUGCACUAUUGUUGCUAAAUUACUUUUCUUAUCGGUCAUUGUUUUUGUUAUUUCGGCUGGCUGUCAUUACUGUUAUCUUCAAGAACCAUAAAUGAAAAUAAAAUGUUGCUGAAGUUCACUAGCUAAGUGCUGAUUAUUUUAAUAUUUUGUGACUCAGAUUGACUGUCGGAUUGCCACUUCUCCGGUUAUAUUUUUGGCUUUCAACAUUCAUCCUCUCAUAGUUAUCAUAAUAAUCGGCUACCAUCUCAACAAUAAAUCUUUAACAAAAAUGAAAAAAAAAAAAUUAUUUUGCGUCUGAGAUUGAUUUUUAUAUAAAAGUUUGGAAGUUGAAAGCGAGUAAGUACUAUGAAGACUACACAUGCACUCUUAUUUUCUUAAUGACUGAGAUUAAAUAGUAUGUUAAUUCCAAGAGCGAACCCAUCGAUAAUUGCAAUGGCAGUACAUCUUGACGGGUACAAAAAGAUUUUCCCUUCCGGAUAUAAAAUUUAGAAAACACCAUUAUAAAUACGUUGAUAGGCUUGUCUUUACAUUAUGAUUAUACUGUUACAGGGUUACUUGUACAGGCAAUUCAUACAAACUCUUGUAUGCAUUAUGGCUUGACAAAUUUAUAUGGUUACCACACCCUCCGUUCUCAUUAUUGAGUUUUGCGUUUUUUACUAUUUCACUUCGUUAAUCUUGGAGGAUUAAUUUUAUACGGGCCACAUUGUUGCACGGUAUAAUCUUGGGA
rnacentral:lncRNA from 1 species